GCCUGGGUGGCUCAGUUGGUUAAGCUUCUGACUUCAGCUCAGGUCACGAUCUCACGGUUUGUGAGUUCGAGCCCCACAUCAGGCU
rnacentral:tRNA from 1 species